AUUUGGGGGUACCGUUUUAGUCUCGUGGGGGAAGGUAGAAUGGUUGUGUGCGAAUCAGUUCAGGAGUUCCUCAGAAAAGAGGGCUUAGUACUCCUAAGUCGUAAAGUAAAAGCAGAAAAAGCAUCUGUGCCCAGCCCGCUUCCAGCUCGUAGCGCGGUCUGCACGCAGUGACUUAAUGGCUGUGACUUGCUGUAGAGAAGCCGGCUGGGAAACCAAAAUUCAGAUGACCUAACCUGCCCAGAUCUCUUAAUUACAAAGCUUGGAAAUGGUCGACUCAGCAAAGAAUGUGGUCUUUGAUAUGGAAAGCCUUCACCUAAGGGAAUCUCUCAAUCUCUCUGGGACUCUGAAGCAAGGACAAUUAUUUUGAGAUCUCAUGUUCUUUACGUUCGUUCAUUCAACAAAUACUCAUUGAGGACUCAUAUAUAUCAAGCGUAAAUAUUUUAUUGUUUCUGCGUAUGUCUUACUUUCUAGACUUUAAGAUUCUUAUGAAGUAAUAGGUGUAAAACUAUCAUCAUACUUGGUGCAUGGUACAUGAUCAAUAAAAUUGGUUGUUCUUCUCCCUCACUUGCUCUAAGGGGAGGAAUUUUAUCUUAAUAAAACCUUGUUUUCCACAUGUUCCAUA